rnacentral:sRNA from 1 species
GCAGAGAAACGAAGGAGCAUCCAGUAAAGUUUAGACUGAAAGCUUCUGGAAUGAGGUCAGGACUUGAGCCUAGCUUCUGGCACAGUGCCCAGCACAGCACUUGGUGUUGGUGGUGCAUAGCAAAGAAGGGAGAAAUGCCACAGGGAACUGCUGUUUUGGAUAUUGUCUGAGCAGAUUAUUGCCACAAUCAUAUCCUUCCUCUUGGCCUCUCACAGGGUGUUGUGCUGGGAUGUUACUUUGGGCCUGCUGCACUCUACAUUUGGGCAGUGGGGAUCCUGGCUGCAGGACAGAGCUCCACCAUGACAGGAACCUAUUCUGGCCAGUUUGUCAUGGAGGGAUUCCUGAACCUAAAGUGGUCACGCUUUGCCCGAGUGGUUCUGACUCGCUCUAUUGCCAUCAUCCCCACUCUGCUUGUUGCUGUCUUCCAAGAUGUAGAGCAUCUAACAGGGAUGAAUGACUUUCUGAAUGUUCUACAGAGCUUACAGCUUCCCUUUGCUCUCAUACCCAUCCUCACAUUUACGAGCUUGCGGCCAGUAAUGAGUGACUUUGCCAAUGGACU